rnacentral:tRNA from 1 species
AAAGUUGUAGUUCAGUGGUAGAACAUAUGCUUAUCAUGUGUGGGGUCCUGGGUUCCAUCCCCAGCAUCAGUG